rnacentral:tmRNA from 1 species
GGGGGCGCACCGGUUUCGACGUGUUAGUGGAUUGGUGCAGGAGCGUGUCGAGCGUUGUCUAUGUGCUCGUAAAACAAAUAGUCAAACAAUACAUGCAGAAAUGCCUGUUAGUGGCGCAAGCCACAAUUUAGCUUUCGCCUAAGGCCUAAGCUAACUUGUUAUAGAAGCCUUCUCUACCAGAUUUCUAUACUCGUAUAACCCCAUGGUAGAAUCUCUCUGUAAAAGAAGCUGUCCUGAGUGGACAGAGAGAGUAUAAGCUCAGCAGCGUAUCAGAAUGAUCAUGUGUCUUUGCAUGCGUUCUGACACUAUUGAACAAAGAACACACACGUAGCGCUUGUAUCACGCCGUAAUGCGGACAUGGGUUCGACUCCCAUCGCCUCCACCA